GGUCUUGCGGUGUAUGACACGUCAGAUUGCAAAUCUGAAGUUGCAGUCCGAGGCUGCCAAGGCUU
rnacentral:tRNA from 1 species